GGAGCAUCUGAGGAGGAUACUUGAAAUGAAAAGAGGUUCUCCUUGUCUUGAAACUCACUCUCGAAGGAGUCCCAGCGAUGGUCUAUCCAAGAGGGCUAGAAUCUUCUAAAAGACGAGUCGUGAAGAGAGAGCUCCUCGAGGAGAUGGAUGCUCAGCUGCCAAUAGAGUUUCGGCCUCCCCAAAGCUGCUCUCAAGAGUCCAGGAGAUCGGA
rnacentral:lncRNA from 1 species